rnacentral:rRNA from 1 species
GGUCAAGCUACAAAGGGCUCACGGUGGAUACCUAGGCACCAGAGGCGAAGA